rnacentral:rRNA from 1 species
UACAGGGGGGGCAAGCGUUGUUCGGAAUUACUGGGCGUAAAGGGUUCGUAGGUGGCCAACUAAGUCAGACGUGAAAUCCCUCAGCUUAACUGGGGACUGCGUCUGAUACUGGAUGGCUUGAGUGUAGGAGAGGAAUGCGGAAUUCCAGGUGUAGCGGUGAAAUGCGUAGAUAUCUGGAGGAACACCGGUGGCGAAGGCGGCAUUCUGGACUACAACUGACACUGAGGAACGAGAGCCAGGGGAGCAAACGGG